rnacentral:tRNA from 1 species
ACCUGGGUAGCUCAGUCAGUUAAGCAUCUGACUUCAGUUCAGGUCAUGAUCUCACAGUUUGUGAGUUCGAACCCCACAUCAGGCU